rnacentral:rRNA from 1 species
UACGUAGGGGGCAAGCGUUGUCCGGAAUCAUUGGGCGUAAAGCGCGUGUAGGCGGCUCGGUAAGUCUACUGUGAAAGUCCAGGGCUCAACCCUGGGAUGCCGGUGGAUACUGUCGAGCUCGAGUCCGGAAGAGGCGAGUGGAAUUCCUGGUGUAGCGGUGAAAUGCGCAGAUAUCAGGAGGAACACCAAUGGCGAAGGCAGCUCGCUGGGACGUAACUGACGCUGAGACGCGAAAGCGUGGGGAGCAAACAGG